GAUCCUGGCUCAGGAUGAACGCUAGCUACAGGCUUAACACAUGCAAGUCGAGGGGAAACGACAUCGAAAGCUUGCUUUUGAUGGGCGUCGACCGGCGCACGGGUGAGUAACGCGUAUCCAACCUGCCCAUCACUUGGGAAUAACCUUGCGAAAGUAAGACUAAUACCCAAUGAUAUCCCACGAAGGCAUCCGAAUGGGAUUAAAGAUUUAUCGGUGAUGGAUGGGGAUGCGUCUGAUUAGUCG
rnacentral:rRNA from 1 species